GUUCUUAUCACCUUGGACACAUUUUAUCCAGUUGUUUGUCUAGCUGGUAAUCCCUUGAGGAUUUCCAGCAAAUUUUGGGGAGGGUUCUGAAUUUCUAGUUGCCAUGUGACGAUCUGGCUGUUAAAAGACAGGAUCUCUGGCUGAAAUGCAAGUUCACUUGUGCUUUUGACCAUACCAAGAUCAAUGAAGAUAUGAAGAAUGGGAAUCCAGCUGGAAAUAUGUUUUUAUUUUUAACCCCUACAUAUGAAACAUCGAGCCUACAAUAAGCAAGACUUCCAAUCAAAUCUCUACCGGGAGAACUAUCUGUGAAAGGAAACAAGAGUGUAAAAAAUGGGUUGCAGGUAUGAAGUAUUGUGUCCCAGUGUUGAGGAACAGGACUGAGACAUCAGCUAAAUAAUUUACAUUCAGAAGGACAAGUGUUGUUCUGGACUACCAGGUCCCAAGAUGACCAGCUCACCCGAGUCGCUAACCCUGGCUCUUCCUGGAGCCAUCCAUCUGUACUGUGCUUCUCCUCAAUGUCUUAAGCCUCCCACUGGCUGCGAUUCUGCCUCUCCAUUUAUGGCAAAUGGGCCCAUUCUUUUAUUACCUCAUUAAAAUAUUGAAA